rnacentral:rRNA from 1 species
UACGUAGGGUGCAAGCGUUAAUCGGAAUUACUUGGCGUAAAGCGUGCGCAGGCGGCUUUGCAAGACAGAUGUGAAAUCCCCGGGCUUAACCUGGGAACUGCAUUUGUGACUGCAUGGCUGGAGUGCGGCAGAGGGGGAUGGAAUUCCGCGUGUAGCAGUGAAAUGCGUAGAUAUCGGGAGGAACACCAGUGGCGAAGGCGGAGACCUGGGCCGAUACUGACGCUGAGGUGCGAAAGCGUGGGGAGCAAACAGG